rnacentral:rRNA from 1 species
UACAGAGGGUGCGAGCGUUAAUCGGAAUUACUGGGCGUAAAGCGUGCGUAGACGGUUAGAUAAGUCAGGUGUGAAAUCCCCGGGCUCAACCUGGGAAUUGCAUUUGAGACUGUUUAGCUAGGGUACGGAAGAGGGAAGCGGAAUUUCAGGUGUAGCGGUGAAAUGCGUAGAUAUCUGAAGGAACACCAGUGGCGAAAGCGGCUUCCUGGUCCAGUACCGACGUUCAGGCACGAAAGCGUGGGGAGCAAACAGG